CGGUGGCCCCUGCGGACCUCCAGGCUUACGUGCAUGAAUUCUUCCACGCGCUCUCGCCAGACACACCGUCAGACAUGCUCCUCUUGGAUAGGGUACACAGGAUACCCAAACCUUCACACCUACCAUCCUCGGUCCCCAGGGAUGUCAUCCUGUGUGCCCACUACCACCACAUCAAAGAAAUAAUAUUACGACAGAGCAGAACCAAUAAGGAUGCACCUAGCAAAUAUGCUGGCAUAAAGAUAUUCCCGGACUUAUCCGCGGCGACGCUGAGAAAGAGGAAAGCCUUCCAACCCAUCACCACCAUCCUCAGACAGCAACAAAUAGCAUACCGGUGGGGUUACCCCCUCAAGCUUCUCAUCACUAAAGGCGGCGCGACGAAGAUACUGACAUCGCCAGAAGACGGAGAAAAGCUUCUCCAGGAAUGGAACCUACCCACACCAAGCAAACAGACGAGAGAAACCGCCACGCUGCAUCGCGAAUGGCGGAAAGCAUAAUACAAUAGACUUAUAC